ACGGAAACGACUGCUAAUACCGAAUAAGUUCCAAGGGUCGCAUGAUCCAUGGAAGAAAAGGUGGCCUCUACCUGUAAGCUAUCGCCUGAAGAGGGGUUUGCGUCUGAUUAGCUGGUUGGAGGGGUAACGGCCCACCAAGGCGACGAUCAGUAGCCGGUCUGAGAGGAUGAACGGCCACACUGGAACUGAGACACGGUCCAGACUCCUACGGGAGGCAGCAGUGGGGAAUCUUCCGCAAUGGGCGAAAGCCUGACGGAGCAACGCCGCGUGAGUGAUGACGGCCUUCGGGUUGUAAAACUCUGUGAUCCGGGACGAAAAGGCAGAGUGCGAAGAACAAACUGCAUUGACGGUACCGGAAAAGCAAGCCACGGCUAACUACGUGCCAGCAGCCGCGGUAAUACGUAGGUGGCAAGCGUUGUCCGGAAUUAUUGGGCGUAAAGCGCGCGCAGGCGGCUUCCCAAGUCCCUCUUAAAAGUGCGGGGCUUAACCCCGUGAUGGGAAGGAAACUGGGAAGCUGGAGUAUCGGAGAGGAAAGUGGAAUUCCUAGUGUAGCGGUGAAAUGCGUAGAGAUUAGGAAGAACACCGGUGGCGAAGGCGACUUUCUGGACGAAAACUGACGCUGAGGCGCGAAAGCGUGGGGAGCAAACAGGAUUAGAUACCCUGGUAGUCCACGCCGUAAACGAUGGAUACUAGGUGUAGGAGGUAUCGACCCCUCCUGUGCCGGAGUUAACGCAAUAAGUAUCCCGCCUGGGAA
rnacentral:rRNA from 1 species